UGCAGUAGAACGCUGAAGGAGGAGCUUGCUUCUCUGGAUGAGUUGCGAACGGGUGAGUAACGCGUAGGUAACCUGCCUGGUAGCGGGGGAUAACUAUUGGAAACGAUAGCUAAUACCGCAUAAGAGUAGAUGUCGCAUGACAUUUGCUUAAAAGGUGCAAUUGCAUCACUACCAGAUGGACCUGCGUUGUAUUAGCUAGUUGGUGGGGUAACGGCUCACCAAGGCAACGAUACAUAGCCGACCUGAGAGGGUGAUCGGCCACACUGGGACUGAGACACGGCCCAGACUUCUACGGGAGGCAGCAGUAGGGAAUCUUCGGCAAUGGACGGAAGUCUGACCGAGCAACGCCGCGUGAGUGAAGAAGGUUUUCGGAUCGUAAAGCUCUGUUGUAAGAGAAGAACGAGUGUGAGAGUGGAAAGUUCACACUGUGACGGUAUCUUACCAGAAAGGGACGGCUAACUACGUGCCAGCAGCCGCGGUAAUACGUAGGUCCCGAGCGUUGUCCGGAUUUAUUGGGCGUAAAGCGAGCGCAGGCGGUUAGAUAAGUCUGAAGUUAAAGGCUGUGGCUUAACCAUAGUACGCUUUGGAAACUGUUUAACUUGAGUGCAAGAGGGGAGAGUGGAAUUCCAUGUGUAGCGGUGAAAUGCGUAGAUAUAUGGAGGAACACCGGUGGCGAAAGCGGCUCUCUGGCUUGUAACUGACGCUGAGGCUCGAAAGCGUGGGGAGCAAACAGGAUUAGAUACCCUGGUAGUCCACGCCGUAAACGAUGAGUGCUAGGUGUUAGACCCUUUCCGGGGUUUAGUGCCGCAGCUAACGCAUUAAGCACUCCGCCUGGGGAGUACGACCGCAAGGUUGAAACUCAAAGGAAUUGACGGGGGCCCGCACAAGCGGUGGAGCAUGUGGUUUA
rnacentral:rRNA from 1 species